rnacentral:misc_RNA from 1 species
UGUAGGAGUGAGCCUGCUCGCGAUGGCGUCGUGUCAGCUUGCAAUUUUGUUAGCUGAUACACCGCUAUCGCGAGCAGGCUCACUCCUACA